AGAACUGUUCCCUGUGCAGGAUGAUGCAGACACACGAUUGCUGAGAUUGCACUGGCUAAAACCACAUGGAGAAGUAACACCACCAUCUCUACUGCAUUUUGCACUGCAACGUCAGAAGGCUGAAAACCAGCAUCUCAUCUUCAUAAUCAAGGACUUCUCUAUACACGUGUGCUAACAGUCCAAUAACCACCACACUGGAAACUCUACUGGCUUUCCAGGUUUUUAUUACACUGCAAAUUUCCCAGCCAGAAUUGUGCAAAACAUACGAAGUUAUCUCCUGGGCAGCAUGAGCUGAAGUCUCCAGAAAUGCUACAAGCUUCUUCCAGCCAGCCUGUUACUGAAAGGCCACCAAUGCAGUGAGAAACCCUCUCGAGACUGUCUUUCCCAGAAGAAAAAUGCCGAUGAAAUGAAUCCUUCCAAGGAGCAGCUGCACUUGAGUUCAUCCCUGCUGAUUCACUGAAACUCAGAGGCAUUUCCUUGCCAACAGAAGACAGAGGUAUAGUAUUAUAGAGAGAACAAUUCCUGGUGUUAUAUAAUUCUUGUAAACUGCUAUUAUGAUUUUGAGAACUGUCCAACAUGGAAUGCACGUGUGUCACAUAAGCUGCUGGCUUGUGAUGAUCUGGGCCAUUGUCAAAUACUUGCUUCUGGGUAAAAUCUUCUUUCUUCAUAGUCCUAGAGCACACGAGCACAGCUUUGCUGCUUCACAACAGGCUGGUUUUGAAGAAGAGUGUGAGUGACUCUAGUUGCAGCAUACAGGGGAAGUGGCAUACCAAGUCACAAGUCAAUGGAUCUCAAUAUGGACCUAAAAAGAAAGAAUACAUGAAGUUAUUACACUGAUAACCAAGCUUCCUGGUUUCCAGUGUAUUGCACCAAAAAUAAUUUAAAAUCUUUCACAUAAAGAACAACCCAGCUACAGAAAGUAACAGUUGUCCCAACACACAAGUCUCCCUACAGGCUGCCUGAGCACAUCCAGAGGGGUAGGAAGCAUGCCCAAAUACCAGCUGCCCUUCUGUAGCUUCAAUUUAAUCUGCUACAAGCUCUCUUUUGGUGACAGGCAUGAAAGUGAGUCAGCAAACGAGCAGCCAGAGGGAUUUGCUGUAUAACAGAAGCGUUUCCCUUAACCAAUAGAAAAGCAGGCUGGGACUGAUUAGAGGCUUAGCAUUAAAGUAAUCCUUCUGUAAACAGAAGUGCAAACUGAAAUCAGACACACAACACUGGGUAUCAACAAUGUACCACAAACAGCUUCCCAGGGGGAACUGGUCAGACUGGCUGCCCCAGCACAGUUAGCAGGUAUCAGCUGUAGCACAAAGGACAAGCUGGUGGUGUUCCAGGAGAACCAUUCCGUACCAACACUGAUAACGAGCAAAGACAAGGCUUUUUUAGCUACCAAGGUUACUAAACUAUGUGUACAACUCCUGGGCAUCUGACUCAUUUUCAAGCUUCAGAAUUGUAGGGCAAAUCCCAAAAACAAAAAUAGGAGACGCCACAUUUUGACCGCUUCCAAUUUCAGAUUCUCUUUUACAAGUGACAAACUCCAACCAGACUUGUCUUUCAACACUUGGCCACUGGACAGAUAUUAAAACUUUCAUUACAGCUAUGUUUACAAGAAGAAAGUGUGUCCAAUCCUUGGCUAGAACAGAUGUUUGUAGUGACAGGGCACAGCCUGCUUCUGCUGCCAGUUAAGUUAAAAGUAAAUCUUUCACUUCUUCACAAAAACAAUGAAACUUCAACCCUACAACAGCUCAAAUCUGUGUUAAGAAUUCCACGUUUUGUAGAAACGGGCUCAAAACAGGAGAGAUACAAAUUACAUGUUAAUCAUCUUUUUCAUGCAGUAACAUUGGUAUUUAAAACUGUAUUUGCCGUGCUGCAACUGUUCUUGAUUUCAAAAACCCCCAAUAAACCGAUGAAGGAAA